rnacentral:rRNA from 1 species
GACGAACCGAGCAAACGUUAUUCGGAAUCACUGGGCUUAAAGAGUCCGUAGGCGGCGCGUUAGGUGGGGUGUGAAAUCCCUCGGCUCAACCGAGGAAUUGCGCUCCAAACCGGCGUGCUUGAGGAAGGUAGAGGUGAGCGGAACUGAUGGUGGAGCGGUGAAAUGCGUUGAUAUCAUCAGGAACACCGGAGGCGAAGGCGGCUCACUGGGCCUUUUCUGACGCUGAGGGACGAAAGCCAGGGUAGCGAACGGG